ACAUCCAGAGAACUUGGCAGAGAUGCCCUGGUGCCUUCGGGACCUCUGAGACAGGUGCUGCAUGGCUGUCGUCAGCUCGUGUUGUGAAAUGUUGGAUUAAGUCCGCAACGAGCGCAACCCCUAUCCUUUGUUGCCAGCGAUUCGGUCGGGAACUCAAAGGAGACUGCCGGUGAUAAACCGGAGGAAGGUGGGGAUGACGUCAAGUCAUCAUGGCCCUUACGAGUAGGGCUACACACGUGCUACAAUGGCGCAUACAAAGAGAAGCGACCUCGCGAGAGCAAGCGGACCUCAUAAAGUGCGUCGUAGUCCGGAUCGGAGUCUGCAACUCGACUCCGUGAAGUCGGAAUCGCUAGUAAUCGUAGAUCAGAAUGCUACGGUGAAUACGUUCCCGGGCCUUGUACACACCGCCCGUCACACCAUGGGAGUGGGUUGCAAAAGAAGUAGAUAGCUUAACCUUCGGGAGGGCGUUUACCACUUUGUGAUUCAUGACUGGGGUGAAGUCGUAACAAGGUAAGCGUAGACGU
rnacentral:rRNA from 1 species